UACGAAGGGGGCUAGCGUUGUUCGGAUUUACUGGGCGUAAAGCGCACGUAGGCGGAUCGUUAAGUCGGGGGUGAAAUCCUGGAGCUCAACUCCAGAACUGCCUUCGAUACUGGCGAUCUUGAGUCCGGAAGAGGUGAGUGGAACUCCUAGUGUAGAGGCGGAAUUCGUAGAUAUUAGGAAGAACACCAGUGGCGAAGGCGGCUCACUGGUCCGGUACUGACGCUGAGGUGCGAAAGCGUGGGGAGCAAACAGG
rnacentral:rRNA from 1 species